rnacentral:rRNA from 1 species
GAUGAACGCUGGCGGCGUGCCUAAUACAUGCAAGUCGAGCGAACAGACGAUGAGCUUGCUCCUCUGACGUUAGCGGCGGACGGGUGAGUAACACGUGGAUAACCUUCUUAUUAUACUGGGAUAACUACGGGAAACCGGAGACAAUACUGGAUAAUAUAUUCUACCGCAUGGAUCAAUAGUGAAAGACGGUUUUGCUGUCACUUAUAGAUGGAUCCGCGCCGCAUUAGCUAGUUGGUAAGGUAACGGCUUACCAAGGCAACGAUGCGUAGCUGACCUGAGAGGGUGAUCGGCCACACUGGAACUGAGACACGGUCCAGACUCCUACGGGAGGCAGCAGUGGGGAAUAUUGCGCAAUGGGCGAAAGCCUGACGCAGCAAUGCCGCGUGGGUGAUGAAGGUCUUCGGAUCGUAAAACUCUGUUAUUAGGAAAGAAAAAAUGUAUAAGUAACCAUGCACGUCUUGACGGUACCUAAACAGAAAGCCACGGCUAACUACGUG